AUGAAGGAUUUAGGAGUGGCUGAUGUCAUUCUGAACAUCAAGUUGUUGAGAGAUGAUGAUGGUGGGAUUACAUUGCUUCAAUCUCACUAUGUGGAAAAGAUCUUGAGUCGCUUUGGCUAUAGUGACUGCAAGCCCUCUCCAACACCAUAUGAUGCUAGCGUGCUGCUUCGAAAGAAUCGAAGAAUUGCUAGAGAUCAAUUGAAGUAUUCUCAGAUUAUUGGCUCGCUUAUGUACUUAGCCAGUGCUACAAGACCUGACAUCUCUUUUGCUGUUAGCAAACUGAGUCGGUUUGUUUCAAAACCAGGAGAUGUGCAUUGGAAAGCUCUAGAGAGAGUUUUGCGUUAUUUGAAAGGCACUGCGAAUUAUGGAAUUCACUACACUGGGCAUCCAAAGGUGCUUGAAGGGUAUAGUGACUCAAACUGGAUCUCAGAUGCUGAUGAGAUAAAGGCCACGAGCGGUUAUGUAUUCACUCAUGGAGGUGGCGCUGUUUCUUGGAAGUCUUGCAAGCAGACCAUCUUAACGAGGUCAAUAAUGGAAGCAGAACUCACAGCACUAGAUACAGCUACGGUCGAAGCAGAUUGGCUUCGCCGGCUCUUGAAUGACUUGCCGGUAGUUGAGAAACCUGUACCGGGUAUCCUUAUGAACUGUGACAAUCAAACUGUGAUCACUAAAGUGAGCAGCUCAAAGGAUAACAUGAAGUCAUCAAGACAUGUUCAGAGAAGGUUAAAGUCUGUCAGGAAAAUGAAAAACUCCGGAGUUAUUGCAUUGGACUAUAUCCAAACGUCUAAAAAUCUGGCAGAUCCUUUUACUAAGUGUCUAUCACGCAAUGUGAUAGAUAAUGCAUCGAGGGAGAUGGGAAUGAAACCCACAAUAUGA
rnacentral:rRNA from 1 species